AAUACUCUCCAGAUUUUUUCCGUGAAUUUUCGGAGCUCAAGAAAUAAUUUUAAAGUCACAAAGUGCAUUUAAUCAAUUUAAAUAAAAAGAAAAAAAAAUUAAAAGACUCUCCUUUCCCUUGGGCCAUUUUUUGGCCCAAGUCCUCCCUUCCUCGGGCCGGCCCAGCUCGCUCCUCCUCUCUCUCAAAGUCCGGCGCACCUCCCUCUCCUGGCCUCCCCUCUCCCUCCCUCGCCGACAGGUGGGCCCGUCGACCCCACUUGUCAGCUCCAUCCCCAACCUCCAGCUCCAUCCCCAACCGCCGCCCAUGGCCGUCCACUACACCGCCAAAUCCGCCACCUCCUGUCUCCCGAGUUUGCAUUCAACCGCGUGGACUCGGUCCCCUCCACGUCCUCCACCAUUUUCCCCACUCUCCCCAUGAAAAUCGGCGCCGGUUAACCCCUCCACCACCCCCACGUUGGCGCCCUACGUCGCCGGCCGUUUGCCGCCCUCAUCGGCCACGAUUCUCCCUCCCCGAGCAUAUAUAAACCAUUCCCACACCUCCCUCUCCAUUUUCCCCUCUCUCCGGAGCCCUCCCGUGCCCAAAAACCACAGCGCCACCGCCGCUCCUCGCCUCCGCCGCUCGCUGGCGAUUUCCAGCCGCCCCUCACCGCUGCUCCAGCCGUCGCCGCGCCGAGCCGCCGCCACCGCCAGCUUCGCCACCGCAAGGGCAAGCCCGGCCGCCUCUUAUUUCCCCCUCUCCACCCCCUGAGCACCACUCCCGCCGCCAACCCGAGCCACCGCCGCUUCUACCGCCUCCAGUUGCCCGCCACCGCCGCACGCCACCGUUGGUCCCACUGGCUUCGCCAUGCCUUGCCGCUUCCCGUCCACCCCUCCUCCUCCAAUCAUCACCGAAACUCCACCUCCGCCGUGCACUCGAGGCCGAUGCUGUGUUUGGUGCCUCCAGCCGCUUGCCUCCGGUGCUCGGAGCCACGUCCGGCAGCGCCGACAACCCCUCCGUCUUCGCGGUGUCGAGCCGCACGACGGCCACCCCUCCCUCUUCGUUAAUCGCCGUCGGAACUCCGUCCCCUUCGCUUGAGGUCGCGGCCGCCCUCGUCCGCCGCGUCCCGCCCAUGGAGCCGCCACGGGAGCGCCGUCCCGCCGUCGUCCCGAGGAGCUCGCCGCCGCGCCCGUCGCCCCUCACCGCCUGGCGCACGCGUGUAGAAUCCGCUGUUUCGGAAGUUCGCAGUCGCGAGGAAAAGAGUUCAGAAGGUUGAAGU